UAUUAGAGCAACUUUCUGCAUUGUUAAUUGGACGAAUAUACAAAGAAAUCAAUGAAAUUUAGCCAACAUAGUAGGCUACCAUGUAGGCAACAAAAAAUAACACUAUUACACUUACACACAAACACAUCACACAAACCAACAAAAACAAAAAAAAAAAUAAAAUAAAAUAAACAUACAUAUAAAAGAAGAAAAAAAUGACUACACUGAGGCCGGACUUCACUUUACUUAAUUUUGAAACCUAUGAGGAGUAUCUGCAAUCAUUCCAGACCGUCAAGGAUCACAGGUAUCUCGGUUGCCUGUCAGCCAUAAAUGAAUUGGCAAAACUUGGAUAUCGAAAUACAAACAGAAUUUACAAUGAGGAUGAGUUCAAAUUGUGCAGAAUGAAGACAUUAGAGUUAAUGAACCCAAAGAUUAAAAUGAGUAUUACUAGCGGACAUUUGGUAAAAAAGUGAUGAUCCGGGGCUGCGGGCUUUGGCGGAACGUGAAACGCCGAAUUUAUUGAAAAAACUUUCAACUAUAAUCUUCGUAGUUAUACGAAUGCCGAGUGGCUUUGAUGUAUCCAGUUACAUGGAUUACGAAAUGAGCUUGCGUCAAUUUGAUUUGAAUGUUCUUGGCGCCUCUAAUUGGAAGGAAAUUUUUCAGGGGAAACCAAAAAUUACGUCCCAAGUCGAGUGACUUGAGCUACUACAAUAUGCAAAAGAAGCAAGUCACUCAUAAUAAUAGUGACAAUUAUCAGACGUUGGCCAUUGGAAACUCACUAUUGUUUCUGCACAAGGGCGAUCACAAGAUUAUUGAUCCAGAAUACAAAUCGGGUAAUCCUACUUCUAAGCGCCGAAUGAUUUUUUCUCCGUCGCUUGGAACUAUUGUAUUAUAUGAUCAUAUUGUCAGAAAGCCUAUAUAAGCUAAUAAUAUUUA